rnacentral:rRNA from 1 species
CCUACGGGUGGCUGCAGUGGGGAAUAUUGGACAAUGGGGGGAACCCUGAUCCAGCCAUGCCGCGUGUGUGAAGAAGGCCCUCGGGUUGUAAAGCACUUUCAGUGAGGAAGAACGCCUGGUGGUUAAUACCCAUCAGGAAAGACAUCACUCACAGAAGAAGCACCGGCUAACUCCGUGCCAGCAGCCACGGUAAUACGGAGGGUGCGAGCGUUAAUCGGAAUUACUGGGCGUAAAGCGCGCGUAGGUGGCUUGAUAAGCCGGUUGUGAAAGCCCCGGGCUCAACCUGGGAACGGCAUCCGGAACUGUCAAGCUAGAGUGCAGGAGAGGAAGGUAGAAUUCCCGGUGUAGCGGUGAAAUGCGUAGAGAUCGGGAGGAAUACCAGUGGCGAAGGCGGCCUUCUGGACUGACACUGACACUGAGGUGCGAAAGCGUGGGUAGCAAACAGGAUUAGAUACCCGUGUAGUC